rnacentral:lncRNA from 10 species
AUAAUGCUCCCAUCAAAUGUCAUCAACUUCUCCCAAGCAGAGAAACCCGAACCCACCAACCAGGGGCAGGAUAGCCUGAAGAAACGUCUACAGGCAAAAGUCAAAGUUAUUGGGAGUUUAUUAAAGAAGCUGUAUUGCAUGAAGGGAGGAGAGAAAGAAGGGAUCUAUCUUGGAUUGGGAGGGAAACACAGAGUUUUGGUUUCUAGAAUUGCCUCUGCACUUAUGUGAUCUGAGGUGCAUAGCAGCCUGGCUGGAAGCAUUCUGAGUGCUCUGUCUGCCCUGGUGGGUUUCAUUCUCCUGUCUGUCAACCCGGCUGCAUUAAAUCCUGCCUCAUUGCAGUGUAAGUUGGACGAAAAGGAUAUACCAACCAGACUUCUUCUUUCUUAUGAUUAUCAUUCACCUUACACCAUGGACUGCCAUAGAGCCAAAGCCAGUCUGGCUGGAACUCUGUCUCUGAUGCUGGUUUCUACUGUGUUGGAGUUCUGCCUAGCUGUGCUCACUGCUGUGCUGCAGUGGAAACAGACUGUCUGACUUCCCUGGUUACUCAUGUCCUCAAAGACGACUCAUGAUGCUGGAUAUGAAGAACUAUUGACUUCUUGGGAAAAAACGGAGAAAUAUUAAUUGGAAAGUUGAUUUUUAUGAUAAUAUGGAAAACCUAACCAUUAUAAAAAAGCAAACUUGAGUUUCCUAAAUGACUAUUUCCCCACACCAUAAAAAUCUGUGCAGCAUUGCAUACAGAGGAUAAGAGAUAUGGCAGUCGCAGAUGGAAAAGGAGGAAAUUUGCAAUAGAAAAUUGGAUAUCCUGUUGCUGAUGCCGGAUCAAGCAAUCAGAGGCUGGGGUCAGUCCAGAAGGCUUCAGAUAACACCAGGGUGUAACCCUGGCGAGAAAUCCUCAUUUGCUCCAAAACCUCUUCCAGCCCCAUGCAACAGCUAGGUACUCCAUGAAGAGAAACUGAUUCAAAAUAUGGCCAACAUGCCCAGUAACCUGGGGGAUUGGCCAUGGUAUCUCCAGGAAGCCUGUCAUCUGAGACUUGAGAACAGCAGGUGGUUUGCCCUAAAGGCAUGUAGAUGGCCAUGGGAUGCCCGGGAUUUUUAUUUGAUUUGGUUUUAAAAUGGUGGCUAAGAGCCUCAAAAUGAAUGGACAGAAUUGAGGUCCACUUCUAUACUCAGGAGAAGAAUGGGAGUGAAGAACAAUUAGACAAAGUCUAAAAGAUUUCUUUCAAUUCACCCAGAGUGAAG